rnacentral:rRNA from 1 species
AUGUGGACCUGUCUUCGUCAGCGCUAUGAGCCCUCUGGUGAUGCCUUAUACCUUUCUGUGGUUCGUCAGGAGCAUGCUCUUCAGCAGGGUGACUCUACUGUUGAUGACUUUUAUGCACAGAGUUCUGCUAUCUGGCGCCAGCUUGAUUCUCUCCGCAGUGCUGGUUGUCGUACUUGCCCCUGCUGCCAGGCUGUCCAGGCCGAUUUGGAGUUUCAUCGCGUCUACGAGUUCCUGUCUCUGCUCUGUAAGGAGUUUGAGCCCCGGCGUGCUCAGUUGUUUGCUCGUGGCCGUAUUUCUCUCAUGGAGGCGCUUUCAGAGAUUCGUGCUGAGGAGACUCGCCUACGUGGUGCUGGGUUGCUGGAGGUUCCCUCUGUGCUCGCUACUCGGGCUUCUUCCACUCCACCUGCUGCACCGCCCCAUUCUCGCUCGAGUGCUCCGCCGCUCUUGCCCACUCCUUCUGGAGGCUCAGGUCGCCCCCGUCCACAUUGUGACUACUGCAACAAUGAUGGUCAUAUUGAGUCCCAGUGCUACACAAAGCGGAAACACCUGCGCAAGGCGCGAUCAUCCUCCUCAGGGACUUCGUCA